rnacentral:lncRNA from 1 species
UAGCUUGAAAGAAGAGGCAAAAUGGCAACAUGGGAACACUUUACUUUGUGGUGCAUCAGAAGCGGACUACAUUGACGAUUCACCCCUUUGACAUCGUAGUUAUACCAUAAAUAAGAAGAUGCAUCUCAUCCGAACUUUAUAACACUAAAUUGGAAGGAUUAGGAGUGUCACAUACACGUAACGCAAAGGAAUCUGCCUGAAGGAAGAGUGAUGACAUUUCAAAGUGACCAUUAACGAGGAGAUUGGAUGCGUUUUCUGUCAAAGACAGCGAAGGUGGGGGGCAUUUGUACGAUGGUAUGGAGUAAAGCAGCAUUCACAUCCAAAGUUGAUCAGCGGACUAACAGAUCCACGGCUCAAAUAUGGCCGACCCACUUGAAAGCUUGCCGCAUGAUUUCCUAAAAGACGAUGUAAGAUUUCGCGGCAAGCUUACAUAUUAUUUUGACCGCAUGGUUCCUUUUUUAUAAAUCAAAAUUAUUAGUAGUUUGUGCAGUAGAUUCCAAAAUGCAUACAAUCUUCGACGAAUUUUGAGAAAAGGAAUUUUUUGUGAAAAUGAACUGAUGGGAACUGCUAUUAUCGUAUUGUAAUUAUACUUUGCAAGUUUGACUUUUGUGCCAAAAUCUUUGCUUUUAUUUUAUACAAUCAUUUGGAUAAUAAGAUACGUCUGUAUGUUCAAUUUAUUUCAAAAUUUGCAAAAAUGAUCAAAUGUCUUUCUCCCUCAGUUUGGCCCGAACCCCCAAUCUUCUUUACGUUAGUUCGUCCGAGGCAAGCGCGCUAUCCACUCCCCCAAGUGUGCCCGCCAACCCUCCUCGGGUGAGCUUUCUUCUUAUAAUAAACGGAAAGAAAUUCUAAAUGCCUUCCUUGAAACUUGAAAGGUCUUUGGCAAUUUCCAAGCGCCCUACCCGGAGCUCAAGCCUCAACCUUCCCCCCCCUCCCUUCCCCGGAUCAAUAAAAACAGAGAGACAUUUUGCAUACAGGAGUUUUACUUUUUAUUAAGAGCAAAAUACAUUUCCAUUGACGUAUUCAUUCAUUUUAAAGCAUCUCAUCGUAAGU